rnacentral:rRNA from 1 species
AUUGAACGCUGGCGGCAUGCUUUACACAUGCAAGUCGAACGGUAACAGGUUAAGCUGACGAGUGGCGAACGGGUGAGUAAUGCAUCGGAACGUGCCCCGGUCGUGGGGGAUAACGCAGCGAAAGCUGCGCUAAUACCGCAUACGAUCUGAGGAUGAAAGCGGGGGACCGUAAGGCCUCGCGCGAUCGGAGCGGCCGAUGUCAGAUUAGGUAGUUGGUGGGGUAAAGGCUCACCAAGCCGACGAUCUGUAGCUGGUCUGAGAGGACGACCAGCCACACUGGGACUGAGACACGGCCCAGACUCCUACGGGAGGCAGCAGUGGGGAAUUUUGGACAAUGGGCGCAAGCCUGAUCCAGCAAUGCCGCGUGCAGGAAGAAGGCCUCGGUUGUAAGCACUUCUAGUGGGAAGGAAAGUUAGCACAGGAUAAUAACCUUA